UUGGCCUGGUUGGUUUGGCUGUGGGGAGUUUGGUCGUGUUCUUCAUCUUACUGACCCUGCUCUGGUGCUACAAAACCAACAAACGUCUGAGAUCAGCUGCAGAAUCUCCAUGUCGCUGUACUGGGAGUCAGUCAGACAUUAAUCAGACAUCAGAUCAGACCCAGAGAGAGUCAGGAGAAGCUGCCCACAUAUAUGACACAGCUGAGCCAGCAG